rnacentral:lncRNA from 1 species
UAAUAUUGGGCUCGCUGAGGCUGCCGCCUUAACUGGAUCGAGCCGGGCCGAUAGUGCGGCCCAAUUUGGUGAGCUGGGCAUCGCCGGUCCACGGCCGAUUCUUUUCGACCGGAUAUCACACGGAAGAUUUACCCUUUUCCUUACCUUUCCGUCUCUCAUAACCCGGCCCCACUAUGGGACCCAUAGCUAAUGGAGAUCCCGCCCCGUCGUUCGAAAGCCCCGCCUCGCUCCUCCUUCAUUUUUUAAAAGGGCUCGAUCCGAGACCACCGGAGGCUCUUCUUUCUCCCCGCCAUGGUAAGCCCUAACCCUGCUCCCUCCUCCGCACUUCGUGGAACCCUAAUCUCUCCCCGCUGGUUCUUCGUGGGUUCCUUCGACUCUCGUCUCGUCGAUCUUGUUCGUGCUAGGGGUAUCGAUCUCGGUGCCGGCGGUCGGAGCAAGAAGGCCAGACGCACCGCCCCAAGGUUCGACGAUGUCUACCUCAAGCUCCUUGUUAUGACCAGCUCCGCUCGGAUUGGUCUCAUUUCCACUUUUCUUGUUGGUUCUUGUGAUGGAUUUGGAGGUUUUCUUUGAUCGGCUCUGCAGGUUUCUAGUGUGGAGGACGGAAGCAAGUUUACCACGGCGAUACGAGAACGGCUCUUCACGAGCAAGAUUAACCAGCCGUCCGUAUCCCUCGACGGGCUUAUCAGUUUCACGGAAGGUAUG